rnacentral:rRNA from 1 species
UACGUAGGGACCAAGCGUUGUUCGGAUUUACUGGGCGUAAAGGGCGCGUAGGCGGCUUGUCAAGUCACUUGUGAAAUCUCUGGGCUUAACCCAGAACGGCCAAGUGAAACUGUCAUGCUAGAGUGCAGAAGGGGCAAUCGGAAUUCUUGGUGUAGCGGUGAAAUGCGUAGAUAUCAAGAGGAACACCUGAGGUGAAGACGGGUUGCUGGGCUGACACUGACGCUGAGGUGCGAAAGCCAGGGAGCGAACGGG